rnacentral:rRNA from 1 species
CACGUAGAAGACUAGUGUUAUUCAUCUUUAUUAGGUUUAAAGGGUACCUAGACGGAAAAUCAAGCCAUAAUAGGGACUAAUUUUCUAGAGUUUUAUGAGAGAAGGGGCGAAUUCCGGAGGAAAGUUGAUAUUUUGUGAUACUGGAAGGACGGGUAACGGCGAAGGCAACCUUUUAUGUAAAAACUGACGUUGAGGGACGAAGCCUUGGGUAACGAGAAGG